rnacentral:misc_RNA from 1 species
CAAAAUUGGAGCCCCUCGAGAACAAUAUCACCACAUACAGAGGGGUACAUGUACGUGUAUUUGCUAAUAUAACAUAUGUGACCUGUAAUUAUACAGUAAAUAUGAGGAUGAUAGAAACAAUAAGCUAUCUUGCACUCCAAAGGAAAGCAGGGAGUUAGUAGCGAAAGUCAGCAGCUACUGGAUCUUUGCUGCCUAGUGUAUUCCCAAAGUGCAAUGGCACCACUGACAUGAACGUUGAGUGAUCGAACUAUUCCCAACUGUGGGAUUUCUAUGCAAGCAUCCAAGAUGUGAAUGAUGUCCACAGGUAUACCCUCUUUUUCUCGGCCAAGGACCAAG